rnacentral:rRNA from 1 species
GCAUUCGCCCUUCGGGGUGCACCAGGCGCGAAAACUUUACAAUGCCGGAAACCGUGAUAAGGGAACACCGAGUGCCAGGUUCAUAUGCUGGCUGUCCUGAUGUGUAAAAUACAUUUGUUAGCACGGGCCGGGCAAGACCGGUGCCAGCCGCCGCGGUAACACCGGCGGCUCGAGUGGUGAUCGUGAUUAUUGGGUCUAAAGGGUCUGUAGCCGGUUUGGUCAGUCUUCCGGGAAAUCUGAUAGCUCAACUGUCAGGCUUUCAGGAGAUACUGCCUGACUUGAAACCGGGAGAGGUAAGAGGUACUACAGGGGUAGGAGUGAAAUCUUGUAAUCCUUGUGGGACCACCUGUGGCGAAGGCGUCUUACCAGAACGGAUUCGACGGUGAGGGACGAAAGCUGGGGGCACGAACCGGAUUAGAUACCCGGGUAGUCCCAGCCGUAAACGAUGCUCGCUAGGUGUCAGACAUGGCGCGACCGUGUCUGGUGCCGCAGGGAAGCCGUGAAGCGAGCCACCUGGGAAGUACGGCCGCAAGGCUGAAACUUAAAGGAAUUGGCGGGGGAGCAC